AGCGGGCGAUCGGGUCAGGGCCAUGGGCGCUGUGCUAGGCGGGGGCAGGGGACACUCGUCCUCCCUUCCUAGGGAGGAAAAAAGGAGAGAGAAAAAUCAAGUCGCAGCCGGCUUGGGCCAGUGUUGCGGGCGUGCUUGCGUGACGCUGAGACUGAGCGGGCUUCCCCACCUGUUUCCAACCGACGCCAAGCGUGAAGUGAGGUGUGAACAGGCCUCUGAGCCCGCGUCCACUAACUGCCCUUGAGGGGAGGGACCUGGCCUCCGACAGAUGGGGUGGAGGAGCCUCCGACUGACUGAGGCCAUCCUGUCUGAAACUCAGGAAACACAGAGUCCCUGGUUGUGUAAUAAGAGUAUACUUGAAAAGUACCCUGUCCUUAUCUGACAACCCAGAUGAAGAAUACUGGCCCUCAAGCUGCUUUUCUUAAAACUCUAUCUAGCACCAAAGCCUAUGCAGUCCAUUAAUGCCCUUCCUAUGUGGUUUGACCCAGGGAGAAGUAUUUUGCUACAGGAAGUGCAGAUACUUUGGUCAGCCUCUGGGAUGUGGAUGAGUCAGUGUGGUACAAUGCAUUUCUAGAAGGAGAGACAGAUUGAUCGUAGAGACACUUGGAGAGGAAGGCCAUGUGAAGAUGGAGGCAGAGAUUGGAGUUACGCUGCCACAAGCCAAGGGACACCAGAAGCUACAAGACACUGGAAGAGGCAAGGAAAGAUUCUUUCCUGGAGGCGUUGGAGGGGAUGUGGCCCUGCUGACACUUUAAUUUUGUUUUGUUUCGUUUUAAAUUUAAAU